ACGAACGCUGGCGGCGUGCUUAACCCAUGCAAGUCGAACGGUGAAGCGCCUUCCUUUUUGGUGGGUGUGGAUGAGUGGCGAACGGGUGAGUAACACGUGAGUAACCUGCCCCCUUCUUCUGGAUAACCGCAUGAAAGUGUGGCUAAUACGGGAUAUUCUGGGUCUGUCGCAUGAUGGGUCUGGGAAAGAUAUUGUUUCGGUGGGGGAUGGGCUCGCGGCCUAUCAGCUUGUUGGUGGGGUGAUGGCCUACCAAGGCGGUGACGGGUAGCCGGCCUGAGAGGGUGGGCGGUCACACUGGGACUGAGACACGGCCCAGACUCCUACGGGAGGCAGCAGUGGGGAAUAUUGCACAAUGGGCGCAAGCCUGAUGCAGCGACGCCGCGUGAGGGAUGGAGGCCCGCGGGUUGUGAACCUCUUUCGCCAGUGAAGCAGGCCUGCCUCGUUUGUGGGUGGGUUGACGGUAGCUGGAUAAGAAGCGCCGGCUAACUACGUG
rnacentral:rRNA from 1 species